CUGCCGUAUAGGCAGC
rnacentral:misc_RNA from 1 species